rnacentral:rRNA from 1 species
GAUGAACGCUGGCGGCGUGCCUAAUACAUGCAAGUCGAGCGAACGGACGAGAAGCUUGCUUCUCUGAUGUUAGCGGCGGACGGGUGAGUAACACGUGGAUACCCUACCUAUAAGACUGGGAUACCUUCGGGAAACCGGAGCUAAUACCGGAUGAUAUUUUGAACCGCAUUGUUCAAAAGUGAAAGACGGUCUUGCUGUCACUUAUAGAUGGAUCCGCGCUGCAUUAGCUAGUUGGUAAGGUAACGGCUUACCAAGGCAACGAUGCAUAGCCGACCUGAGAGGGGGAUCGGCCACACUGGAACUGAGACACGGUCCAGACCCCUACGGGAGGCAGCAGUAGGGAAUCUUCCGCAAUGGGCGAAAGCCUGACGGAGCAACGCCGCGUGAGUGAUGAAGGUCUUCGGAUCGUAAAACUCUGUUAUUAGGGAAGAACAUAUGUGUAAGUAACUGUGCACAUCUUGACGGUACCUAAUCAGAAAGCCACGGCUAACUACGUG